UCAAUGCAGAAGAUGAAGGCAGCAGACAAGGAGAAAAGUCGUUAAAGUCGUGUUAAAAAGAGGAUGAGAAAUCUAUAAAUAAGUGAAGUGGCCUCUGUAUGAUGUACGCUGUUACAUCAGACCGAGGGCUGAGGGGCAGUGAACGAGGGGAAGUGAGACUACUAAUGAAACACAGCUACAGACAGACGGUCUACCUGGUCAUGGAUCACCUGCUGACGGUGUUGGUGUUGCUGUGGAGCUCAGGACUCCAGGCUGAAGAUAAACACCAACCAACAGGUAAAAAGAGAGAAUAUAUCUCAUCUGGUCUGGGAACGCCUCUGAUCCCCCAGGAGGAGCUGGAGGACGUUACUCGCACCUCCAUCAGUGAUGGACAAUGAAUCCACUUUGGUUUAUGAACAAAUACCCUCAAAACUAAUAACUAAUAAAAUAUGCAAAUGUUAGCAUUAAAAAGUGAAAAUAACAUCAUCACUGUCUGCUGUCAUCAUGUAUUGUUAAAUACAGGUGUGUUCAGGACCAUCAGUGGUUGAAAUAUGGUGGUAAUUUUCUAUUUCAUGUGCAUCACUUGUUCUCUCUCUCUUCAUCAGACUACAUGAAUGACCAUGUCUAAUGAAAUGUUUAUUACUGUCACACAGACACAAAACAUUAGCAGGAUGGCUCAGGUAUUCACACUACAAGAGAAAGCAGGAGUAGUAGUAGUUUUGAGAUAUAAAGUAACGUAUGUAUAUGAUAUUUAAUCAUUAACACACAUUAACACAGUGUAAAUAGACCAGUUCGCUGCUCUCUGUCGGCUCAGUAUCAACAUGAUGAUCAGAUGUACUGACUUCAGAAUAGUGAUCAGUUUCAUUUCUAAUGAAACUCACUUUAUUCUUUUACUGAUGACUCUCUUCUUUCUGUUCAGAACCUGUCAGGUUGGUGGGAGGAGCCAGUCGCUGUGCAGGUACACUGGAGGUGAAACAGGGAGAGUGGAGACCAGUGAGUGACGCUGACUGGACCCUGAAGGAAGCAGCUGCAGUUUGCAGAGAUCUUGACUGUGGCUCUGCUGUUUCAACAGGAAGCAUGAAUGAGACCUCAGAGAGAUCUGUUUGGUGGAUCAAUCCUGACUGUGUUCAGUCUGGAUUUGCACUGAGUGACUGUGUAUCAUCAAAUUUCUCUUCCUACAUUGUGGAGGUCACCUGCUCAGACUCUGUCAGGCUGGUGAAUGGGACUAGUCUGUGUUCAGG